rnacentral:rRNA from 1 species
CGGAGAGUUUGAUCCUGGCUCAGGAUGAACGCUGGCGGCGUGCUUAACACAUGCAAGUCGAACGGUGAAGCCAAGCUUGCUUGGUGGAUCAGUGGCGAACGGGUGAGUAACACGUGAGCAACCUGCCCUGAACUCUGGGAUAAGCGCUGGAAACGGCGUCUAAUACUGGAUAUGAGCUGCGGAGGCAUCUUCGUGGUUGGAAAGAUUUUUCGGUUUGGGAUGGGCUCGCGGCCUAUCAGCUUGUUGGUGAGGUAAUGGCUCACCAAGGCGUCGACGGGUAGCCGGCCUGAGAGGGUGACCGGCCACACUGGGACUGAGACACGGCCCAGACUCCUACGGGAGGCAGCAGUGGGGAAUAUUGCACAAUGGGCGGAAGCCUGAUGCAGCAACGCCGCGUGAGGGAUGACGGCCUUCGGGUUGUAAACCUCUUUUAGCAGGGAAGAAGCGAAAGUGACGGUACCUGCAGAAAAAGCGCCGGCUAACUACGUGCCAGCAGCCGCGGUAAUACGUAGGGCGCAAGCGUUAUCCGGAAUUAUUGGGCGUAAAGAGCUCGUAGGCGGUUUGUCGCGUCUGCUGUGAAAACCCGAGGCUCAACCUCGGGCCUGCAGUGGGUACGGGGCAGACUAGAGUGCGGUAGGGGAGAUUGGAAUUCCUGGUGUAGCGGUGGAAUGCGCAGAUAUCAGGAGGAACACCGAUGGCGAAGGCAGAUCUCUGGGCCGUAACUGACGCUGAGGAGCGAAAGGGUGGGGAGCAAACAGGCUUAGAUACCCUGGUAGUCCACCCCGUAAACGUUGGGAACUAGUUGUGGGGUCCAUUCCACGGAUUCCGUGACGCAGCUAACGCAUUAAGUUCCCCGCCUGGGGAGUACGGCCGCAAGGCUAAAACUCAAAGGAAUUGACGGGGACCCGCACAAGCGGCGGAGCAUGCGGAUUAAUUCGAUGCAGCGCGAAGAACCUUACCAAGGCUUGACAUACACGAGAACGCUGCAGAAAUGUAGAACUCUUUGGACCUCUCGUGAACAGGUGGUGCAUGGUUGUCGUCAGCUCGUGUCGUGAGAUGUUGGGUUAAGUCCCGCAACGAGCGCAACCCUCGUUCUAUGUUGCCAGCACGUAAUGGUGGGAACUCAUGGGAUACUGCCGGGGUCAACUCGGAGGAAGGUGGGGAUGACGUCAAAUCAUCAUGCCCCUUAUGUCUUGGGCUUCACGCAUGCUACAAUGGCCGGUACAAAGGGCUGCAAUACCGCGAGGUGGAGCGAAUCCCAAAAAGCCGGUCCCAGUUCGGAUUGAGGUCUGCAACUCGACCUCAUGAAGUCGGAGUCGCUAGUAAUCGCAGAUCAGCAACGCUGCGGUGAAUACGUUCCCGGGUCUUGUACACACCGCCCGUCAAGUCAUGAAAGUCGGUAACACCUGAAGCCGGUGGCCCAACCCUUGUGGAGGGAGCCGUCGAAGGUGGGAUCGGUAAUUAGGACUAAGUCGUAACAAGGUAGCCGUA